GUCAAACAUGAUUUAUUAUAGAGCUGUGCUUAAAUUGCAUCACCUUGUACAGAACUAUAACGCUGUUAAUUAAUUGGUGAUGCCUAACUAAUUAAGCAAAAGGCCUUUGGUUAUGGCAGUCCAGGUUAUUGCCAUAACCCACUUUCAGCAAGUCACAGUAUCUUUUAUAGAAACCGAUUCGAUCCUCCACUUUCGGGUUCGACCCUUUCCCGCAUUCG
rnacentral:misc_RNA from 1 species